rnacentral:rRNA from 1 species
GAUGAACGCUGGCGGCGUGCCUAAUACAUGCAAGUCGAGCGAACGGACGAGAAGCUUGCUUCUCUGAUGUUAGCGGCGGACGGGUGAGUAACACGUGGAUAACCUACCUAUAAGACUGGGAUAACUUCGGGAAACCGUAGCUAAUACCGGAUAAUAUUUUGAACCGCAUGGUUCAAAAGUGAAGGACGGUCUUGCUGUCACUUAUAGAUGGAUCCGCGCUGCAUUAGCUAGUUGGUAAGGUAACGGCUUACCAAGGCAACGAUGCAUAGCCGACCUGAGAGGAUGAUCGGCCACACUGGAACUGAGACACGGUCCAGACUCCUACGGGAGGCAGCAGUAGGGAAUCUUCCGCAAUGGGCGAAAGCCUGACGGAGCAACGCCGCGUGAGUGAUGAAGGUCUUCGGAUCGUAAAACUCUGUUAUUAGGGAAGAACAUAUGUGUAAGUAACUGUGCACAUCUUGACGGUACCUAAUCAGAAAGCCACGGCUAACUACGUG